GAUGAACGCUGGCGGUAUGCUUAACACAUGCGAGUCGAACGGACUCUUCGGAGUUAGUGGCGGACGGGUGAGUAACGCGUGAGAAUCUGGCUUUGGGUUCGGGACAACCACUGGAAACGGUGGCUAAUACCGGAUGUGCCGAGAGGUAAAAGAGAAAUUGCCUGAAGAUGAGCUCGCGUCUGAUUAGCUAGUUGGUGAGGUAAAGGCUCACCAAGGCAGCGAUCAGUAGCUGGUCUGAGAGGAUGACCAGCCACACUGGGACUGAGACACGGCCCAGACUCCUUCGGGAGGCAGCAGUGGGGAAUUUUCCGCAAUGGGCGAAAGCCUGACGGAGCAAUACCGCGUGAGGGAAGAAGGCUCUUGGGGUGUAAACCUCUUUUCUUAGGGAAGAACAAAAUGACGGUACCUAAGGAAUCAGCAUCGGCUAACUCCGUG
rnacentral:rRNA from 1 species